rnacentral:rRNA from 1 species
CAAGGCAGACGGCUCAGUAACACGUAGUCAAUCUACCCUGUAGACGGGGAUAACCUCGGGAAACUGAGAAUAAUACCCGAUAGACCACCUUGUCUGGAACGACCUGUGGUUCAAAUGAUUUAUCGCUAUAGGAUGGGACUGCGACCUAUCAGUUUGUUGGUGAGGUAAUGGCCCACCAAGACGAUUACAGGUACGGGCUCUGAGAGGAGAGGCCCGGAGAUGGGUACUGAGACACGGGCCCAGGCCCUAUGGGGCGCAGCAGGCGAGAAAACUUUGCAAUGUGCGAAAGCACGACAAGGUUAAUCCGAGUGUUUCCUGUUAAAGGAAUCUUUUGCCAGUCCUAGAAACACUGGUGAAUAAGGGGUGGGCAAGUUCUGGUGUCAGCCGCCGCGGUAAAACCAGCACCUCAAGUGGUCAGGAUGAUUAUUGGGCCUAAAGCAUCCGUAGCCUGCUGUUUUAGUUUUCGGUUAAAUCCAUGCGCUCAACGUAUGGGCUGCCGGAAAUACUGCACAGCUAGGGAGUGGGAGAGGUAGACGGUACUCGAUAGGAAGGGGUAAAAUCCUAUAAUCUACUGAUGACCACCUGUGGCGAAGGCGGUCUACUAGAACACGUCCGACGGUGAGGGAUGAAAGCUGGGGGAGCAAACCGGAUUAGAUACCCGGGUAGUCCCAGCUGUAAACCAUGCAAACUCAGUGAUGCGUCGAGUUUAAGCUCAACGCAGUGCUGCAGGGAAGCCGUUAAGUUUGCCGCCUGGGAAGUACGUACGCAAGUAUGAAACUUAAAGGAAUUGGCGGGGGAGCACCACAAGGGGUGAAGCCUGCGGUUCAAUUGGAGUCAACGCCGGA